GCCGGGGUGUGCCAAACGAAUGUGCAGCCCGGCUGCUCCGCCCUCCCCCGCACCAGACCCGCCGGCCGGAAUGGAAACCCAAGCUCUCUCGAAAAGAAGGGGAUGAUGCAAACUUAGAAACUGACCCGGCGUCCGGGAACGAUGCCCCUGCGGGGCGCGGCGUCCCAGUCCCGGCAUGAAUGGCUGGAGCCCGAUUGCAUAAUCGGCGCGGUAUAAAUAGCCGACGGGCGGGCCGCUGACGAGCUCGCUGGUCCCGUUAUCGUGACUACUUCAUCCCCGAUGCAUUCACUCCCGGGUCAUUUUCCCUUUCAGCUGCAAGGCUGGGAUUUUAAAUAGCAGAGAUGAAAGGCUCUCAUUCCUGCUUCCCUGCUCCCUUGAGUUCAUGUAUUAUGAAUGAAACCUCGCUGCUUCCUGAUGGCUCACUUCAGGCACAUUAACUUGAAGAAGACCAGCUGUUUGUAAGGAAAGGAUGGCUUGGAUGAAAGAAUAUGGAAGGAAUUAUGCUUACCUGCAGGAUGAGGAAAUGCAUGCAGACAAAAAGGUAAAAAGUGAAAAAGGCAUUCAACAUUGGUUUUGCUGGAGCCAGCGGAGAGGCAAGGCACCUCAAACAGCAGCAGUGAAACCACCAAGCUCCUUUCCUGGGAACCACUCUCAGCAUCUCAGCAUCCAGCCCCACUGCUUUUAGUUGUGUCUCUGAGCAUUUACUCUGUAUCUGUUAGCAAGAUGCAUUCUAAGCCCGUGACAUAAAAUAUUGGACUGUUUCCAUCCUAUCAUUCAUCUUCCACUUUUGAUAUCAGCACUGAGCGCCUCUUUUUGUCAAGCACUUCACUGGAGCUUGGGAAAACAUACUGAGCAGAAACCAACCAGCCUCUGAUCUCAAGGAUCUCACAGAUAGGGAAACUAAGUGGCUAAGUGACUUGCCUGGAUGACUUCAGAAGGGACAUCAGAGCCAGGAAGAGAAGUCAGGGCCUUGAGGCUUCUGCACGCAGCUGCGGCCAUUCUUGCUGACAGGCGUUCAUCUUUGAAGACCUGAGGAUGGGGAGCUUUUCUGAAUGACUUAUCAGACAGAUGGCUCCCAGCUGUGGAACUCACUCUGGAUGGCUGUCAAGGACUGACUUUCUAUUUGCAGGGCUCCCCCAUGAAGUGUGUUUUGUUGUUAUUGUUGUUUUAUUAAACUUGCUUCUU